rnacentral:rRNA from 1 species
CGGUUAUGUCAGUCGUACGUGAAAUCGUCAGGCUUAACCUGACAACUGCACAUGAUACUGCAUAACUUGAGUACAGGAGAGGAGAGUGGAAUAAGUGGUGUAGCGGUGGAAUGCGUAGAUAUCACUUAGAACACUCGUGGCGAAGGCGGCUCUCUGGCCUGAUACUGACGCUGAAGCGCGAAAGCCAGGGUAGCGAACGGGAUUAGAUACCCCGGUAGUCCUGGCCGUAAACGAUGGGUACUAAGUGUAGGAGGUAUUGACCCCUUUUGUGCUGUAGUUAACGCGUUAAGUACCCCACCUGGGGAGUACGGCCGCAAGGCUAAAACUCAACGUAAUUGACGGGGGCCCGCACAAGCGGUGGAGCAUGUCGCUCAAUUCGAUGCAACGCGAAGAACCUUAUCCAGGGUUUGACAUCCUCUGACUACCAUGGAAACAUGGAUUUCCUGUUGAGGGACAGAGUGACAGGUGCUGCAUGGCUGUCGUCAGCUCGUGUCGUGAGAUGUCGGGUUAAGUCCCGCAACGAGCGCAACCCUUGUUCUUAGUUACCAGCGGGUAAUGCCGGGGACUCUAAGGAGACUGCCUGCGAUGAGCGGGAGGAAGGUGGGGAUGACGUCAAGUCCGCAUGGCCCUUAUGCCCUGGGCUGCACACGUGCUACAAUGGUCGGUACAACGGGCAGCGAAAUCGCGAGAUGGAGCAAAUCCCUAAAAGCCGGCCCCAGUUCGGAUUGGAGUCUGCAACUCGACUCCAUGAAUGCAGGAAUCGCUAGUAAUCGCGGAUCAGAAUGCCGCGGUGAAUACGUUCCCGGGCCUUGUACACACUGCCCGUCAAGC